GUGCUUGCUUUGGCAGCACAUAUACAAAAAUUGGAAUGAUACAGAGAAGAUUAGCAUGGCCCCUGCCCAAGGAAAUUCACGAAGCAUUCCAUAUUUUU
rnacentral:snRNA from 1 species